ACCUCGGGCCUGCAGUGGGUACGGGCAGACUAGAGUGCGGUAGGGGAGAUUGGAAUUCCUGGUGUAGCGGUGGAAUGCGCAGAUAUCAGGAGGAACACCGAUGGCGAAGGCAGAUCUCUGGGCCGUUACUGACGCUGAGGAGCGAAAGCAUGGGGAGCGGACAGGAUUAGAUACCCUGGUAGUCCAUGCCGUAAACGUUGGGAACUAGAUGUGGGGGCCAUUCCACGGCUUCCGUGUCGCAGCUAACGCAUUAAGUUCCCCGCCUGGGGAGUACGGCCGCAAGGCUAAAACUCAAAGGAAUUGACGGGGGCCCGCACAAGCGGCGGAGCAUGCGGAUUAGUUCGAUGCAACGCGAAGAACCUUACCAAGGCUUGACAUAUACGAGAACGCUGCAGAAAUGUAGAACUCUUUGGACACUCGUAUACAGCUGGUGCAUGGUUGUCGUCAGCUCGUGUCGUGAGAUGUUGGGUUAAGUCCCGCAACGAGCGCAACCCUCGUUCUAUGUUGCCAGCACGUAAUGGGUGGGAACUGCAUAGUGAGACUGUCCGGGGUCAACGUCGGAGGAAGUUGGGGAUGACGUCAAAUCAUCAUGCCCCUUAUGUCUUGGGCUUCACGCAUGCUACAAUGGCCGGUACAAAGGGCUGCAAUACCGCAAGGUGGAGCGAAUCCCAUAAAGCCGGUCUCAGUUCGGAUUGAGGUCUGCAACUCGACCUCAUGAAGUCGGAGUCGCUAGUAAUCGUGGAUCAGCAACGCCACGGUGAUACGUUCCCGGGCCUUGUACACACCGCCCGUCAAGUCAUGAAAGUCGGUAACACCCGAAGCCAGUGGCCCAACCG
rnacentral:rRNA from 1 species